GGUGGCUGUGCACGUGGCUGUCGGGCCCAGCGCGCGCCGCCGCCUCGGGUCUCUCCUUUCUCGGUUCCACGUCACAGUGGCUCAAGCCCUCCCCCACGCCGCCUCAUGGACCCCGGCUUUUCGCAGCCCUCUCCUCUACCAGCUCCCCAGCCUCACGCCUCAGCAACCCCGGGCCAGAGCCAUUCCCCUCCAGACUGAGUCACCAGCAGGAGCUCUCCCUUUCCAUGGGGACGGGACAGAACAGGACAUUGAUUGGGGCUGGGGUUGCAGCUCGGUGGUAGAGCGCUUGGCUAGCACGUGUGAGGCACUGGGCAUUGGCUUCCUGGAUUUCCUAACUGAUAAGGGAAGUUUAGGAAAGUCUUGUCAAAAAUAGAAACUGUGGGUAAGUGCUAUGGAGGAAAAAAUAAACUGAGGAAGUGACAUAUAAGAUAAUAUCUAAAGGACAAGAAGAAGCUGGUCAAAGGAACUGACAAGGGUCCUGAGGAGGUCGCCCAGAAGGAGGUGGACCUCAACUGAGACCUGGAGAGUCCUUGAUGUCGUCGCAAAGAAGGAAUUUGAGGACAGGUUAAAAUGAG
rnacentral:lncRNA from 1 species